AUUGAACGCUGGCGGCAUGCCUUACACAUGCAAGUCGAACGGCAGCAUGGGUGCUUGCACCUGAUGGCGAGUGGCGAACGGGUGAGUAAUGCAUCGGAACGUACCAUUCAGUGGGGGAUAACGCAGCGAAAGUUGCGCUAAUACCGCAUAUUCUGUGCGCAGGAAAGCAGGGGAUCGCAAGACCUUGCGCCGAUUGAGCGGCCGAUAUCAGAUUAGCUAGUUGGUGAGGUAAAGGCUCACCAAGGCGACGAUCUGUAGCGGGUCUGAGAGGAUGAUCCGCCACACUGGAACUGAGACACGGUCCAGACUCCUACGGGAGGCAGCAGUGGGGAAUUUUGGACAAUGGGCGCAAGCCUGAUCCAGCCAUGCCGCGUGAGUGAAGAAGGCCUUCGGGUUGUAAAGCUCUUUCGGCCGGGAAGAAAUCGUAUGGGUUAAUACCCUGUGCGGAUGACGGUACCGGCAUAAGAAGCACCGGCUAACUACGUGCCAGCAGCCGCGGUAAAAC
rnacentral:rRNA from 1 species